UUGGGAACUUGUCCCUUCCCUACCCCUCAGCUUACAGCUGUAGUUCCUCUGGAAAUAUUCGCAGAAAGAAAAUCACAAGCUUCUGUGAUGGAUCACUAAUCCGUCUGUAAGGAAAUAGCCAUGAGAGGGACAAAUGCGUCACUUGAGCACGCAGUGGGGCAGGCCUACGAGGUCUCAUUGACUGCUUGGCUAAUGGCAGCAUACUGAACUGUCAGGCAGGCUCAUUAGGGACACGCUGCUAAUUCAGUCAGGCAACGGCUGCCAGGCUGCAUUGUGCAGAGCUGAGCAGCGUGAACAGAGCCCGCAAGCAAAGCUGCUGGAAUCCGCUUUUGUGCUCCCUUUGGACAGCUGUCCUCCCUUGUUGGCUUCUUUCCCCAGUUCUAACUGGCCACGUGGAGUUUUGGCACCGUUCGUGUUGCCUGAAGAUUAAUUGUAGAUUGCAGAAGUAAUCCAACUGGUGCUAACCUGAGUAACCCUGCUUCUCUUCCCAGCUGAUUUUGCAUACAUACCUUUAGUCGCAGUGUCAGAGCCAGCGUUAAUUCACUGCGUCUGGUGACUUAAUUGGAAAUUGGUUUAAGCUUUCUCUUUAAACCCUAAUUUGGAAUGCUGUAGGUGUUUCCCUUAUCUUCACUGCUCACAUCUGCUUGGCAGCAUAUGCUGAAGUUUGCAUUUCUUUUCUGCUGUCAAAAGACAACCUUGGUCUCCUGGCUUGAUUUUUCAGUUACGUCUCUCUGGAGCGAUGCCCAAAUGACAAGACAGAUCUUUAGCUCAAUGACCUGGAGGCACACGAGGGCCUCAUGCCUUCUCAGACGUCACACGAAAAUCUUUCCCAAGAAUUGAAAUUCACCAAAGAACUGCAGGUGAUUUCAGAGUCACCGCAGUAUUUGCCUUGCAAAUCCACCACAAUCCCUGGAAGGACUUGGUACUGAGCUAUAAUGGGCUAUGGGCUGGCUUUUGGAGCAGAGAAGUGGUGGGGAAAACCCGUCUUGUGCAGUCCACAGGGGCUGGCAUCCUGCUUUUUGUGUGAUGGACCCCUUGGGUGAUUAUCAUGGAAGGUUGAAGAAGGGUAAGAGAUCGUUUCUGGCUCAUAAAGGGAGCAACUAGAUUGUGUCAGUGCUGUCUCUUUCUAAUGUGCAUCAGAAUAUAAAGUUGAUUGAGGAGUUGGAACCCAACAGAGGGUUUUCUGAUUCUCUGCCAUCUGCUUGACUUUAUGACUCCAGCUCCUCUCCCAUUCUUGGAGAUGAUUUUCCCUGACAUCUUCAGUCUUAUUAAAGCUUGUUUUUGUUUCUGCCCAGUCUUCUGCCAGAGAAAGGCUGAAAUGGAUAAGUUUCUGGUAACCGUUUUCUGUGUUUUCACCUGAUUUGUCUCAUUGUUUUAAGGCUAGGUCACAUACUUAAGGAUUUCAGAUGCGAUCAGAAAUGAAGCAGAACAAGGUUUCCCAGGAGAUGACUGUGUGUGCUUGUGCAGAAUGUGCUUCCCAGGGAAAUGGUCUGCAGAAUUACCUUGCAGAAUGUUGCACAGCUCCAGCACGUGUGUCACUAACUGUCCAUUCACAAUGGAUGAUUUCUCCAGGUAAUGCUCUCCUCCAGCUGUGUCAGGCUCUGUCACCACACUGGGAGGCUGCCCUCUUUCCCAGAAACAACAGUUCCUGCCUCUGCCUGUUCACAUGGAGGGGUAUCUGUGUAAAGCAGUGCUCCAUUCAGGGAAAGGAAGCAGUAUUUUUCUAAGAAUGGAAAAACACUUGCUGUGUGGGAGGGAAAACUUCUUGUGAUCAAGCGCUGAGUUUCCUCAAUUCACUUUGUGGGGGGUUUCUAUUGGAGUAAGGCUGGAGGAGGGAGAUUUGGGAUGAUUCUGGGAAGCUUUGACUCAGAAAGGGGAGAGUGAUUCAUAGAUUUUUAGUGCUGUUAUUUAUUAAAGCCAGAACAGGCCAUUGGACCUAGUCUUAUCUUUGAAAAUGCAAAGCACUUAUGCGGUGACCCAAAAGAGUUUGUGGGUUUAAACUUAGAUCUUUUGGCAUUAAAAUAUAAAUCCCAGCAUUGGGAGUCAGCCUACCACUACUUUAAACUAGAUUUGUGGUCAGUUACUUCUGGAGUCGUGAUGGAAGAGUUCAUUCAUUCAAGAGCUGUUCUUUAAUUUUCAUAGGGAAAUGCUGAUUACCAAGGAAAUCAGCUUUUUUAGGAGGAGCCUUUUUCUUCUCCCUGAUUUGGAAAUGCAUAUUUACUUCUCCAUAACUUCAUUGUUAGUACUCAAAAUAAACGAUGAGUUGCAGGAUGUACCUUAGAAAAAAAGAUUUAAGCUCAUCUUUUCCUUUAAGCUCGCCUUACACCAAAGGCUCACACAGCCCCAGUACAUUUGGAUAUGCUGUGUCAGUGGCUGAGAGUCAGGAAAGCUUCUGAGCUUCCAGCAGUCCUUGGUGGAUCCUGGAGCAAACAGCUUCAUUACCCUCCUGAAAACACUGCUAGCAGGGCGAUCUCAUCAUGCCUAAACUGCUGCCUUGAAUUUUGUUUGUACUGAGGUCAGUUAUGGUAGAUAAUGCCUUAAUCUUGGCAGAGGUAGGGAAUGCAUGCAGAGGCUCUUCAAGAAAGAGAAAUGAUGGAGAAAGGACAAACAUCCAUUGUCACAACAAAUAGAGGAACUUGGACUUGGAGCUGCAUUUAACUGCAUUGGGGUAAACGAAUCUUCCAGAACUGUGCAUCAGACCUUCAGACAAACACAGCAUCUGUCCUAGAAGGAUUUAAUUAUGUGAAAUAAGCUCAAGAUAAACUGAUUUGUGUCAAUAGCUGUAAUAAACACAUUCUGCAUAGUUAAGAAAUCUCCAAGGCUUUGGAUAAUCAACUGAAAUCUCAAUUCAGUUUAACUCUGAUAAGCAUUAAUCAGUAAUUUUAGACAUUUAGUUGACUUGUAAGCAAUCCUGUAAGAUUACCAAAACCAAUUUCUUGAUUCACAGUUAUUACUGCAGUUGAAACUUUUUUUGCUGAAGUAUCCAGAGUGGUUACAAAAAAGGAUUUCCCUGGGAGUGAUUUUGCUGCCUGGGAAAAAUCUCACACAGGUGCAACCGAUUGGAAAAGCCAGACUUUUUUUUUUGUAAUGAGAAAAGCAAAAAAGAAUCCAACGAAGAGGCAGUGGUGUGUUGCCUUGCCAGCAAGGGAAGUCAAGAAGACUGCAAACUUUAAUGGAAGUAGAAUUUUGGAGGGAGAAAGCUAUAGACUGCUGUGAAAUGUACCCAAAAUUUUCUGGUUUACAGAACCAAUAUUUUAAGAAGCCAACAGAAAUAUGCCAAGAAAAGCUUUCAGUCAGAUAAUCUAACCUGGCUACUGGGGAAUGUUGCACUCUUUUGUGGAGGAGCUGACAGGGGAUACAAGUCAUCUGCCAUGCAAGAAGAUUUGCUUUGCUGUAACCAAUUUCAACUGCAGCAGCCACCACCAGUUCCUGAUUGAAUGACACCAGUGCCACAGGGAUGGUGACCUUCUUCAGCUGAGAGGAACAGAGUUGGGAAUGAGAACUUGGCAUCCAGCAAGAAGAAUCCAUAGGAGCCUGUUGAAGCAGCCACCUGAAGCACGGUUCUCUGAGCACUUUCAACCUGUAGCCUUGUGUGCCUCAUCUCUGGAUCACCGCUGCCUUUGGGCUUUCUCCUGGCCCUGAGUCAAUCUGCUCGCUGUUAAACAUUCUCCCAUCUGUUUUUGGCUCCAUGCUGGAUUUCUGCUGGACCCUGAAAGCAGUGAAUAGUUGUGAAGGAAAGUUGUGAAGAUGCAACUGAAGCAGAAUACAAUUUGAAGAGCCCUCCAUGUGGAGUUGCUGAAUACUGGAAGCCUUCCUUCAGCAUUUGUGGUUCCUUAGUUACUUCAGUGCCCUGGUAUGCAGAGCUGGCCUCCUUGGCUCUGGUUUUGUCUCAGGUUUUUUUCACUCCUCUUUCCUCAGACCUGUUGUUCCUCCUCAGCUACUCUUCUUCCUCCCUGCCUCAGGUGCCAUCUCCCUUCUGUGCAAAAAACCUGACUUUUAAAUCACAGUUGCACUUUUUGCAUUUCAGUGUUAAAUUUCAUUUUAUUUUUAAUGCAACCACAUUGCAUAUCUUUUUUGGGGUCACAGAAGCAUGUUUGGUGUGUUUCAGUGGUCACUGCCAGGUUCUUCUCCAAACAGAACUGAAACCAAUAUGUUGCUCUCUGUAUUAGACUCUUCCUAGCAGCCAUGUUUAUGCAGCUCCCCAUAAAAUGGAUCCCUGGUUAGGAUUUUUGAACAGCUCAAUCACUGAAAAAAUGGCAUUUUGAACAAGCUAGAGCUAUUUAAAAAAAAAUUGGGUUAAUAUAUGAUGAAAAGUUUGGGUCUGAAGAAAUAUCAGUGACAACACCCUUCCAAAAUUUAGGUCCAAAACAUCGUCAACAUGAGUAUCACAAUUACGAAGUUACUGGCAUUUAAUUGAACAAGAAGUUUUUUGGUUUUUUUUAAUACCAGAAAAAUUUUUGACAAAGUUUGAAAAUCGUGUUCAGAACAGUCAUCCAAAAUGGUACAAUUUUGGUUAAUUUGCAUGAAACAGAGGGCAGGUUCUUUGUUUUGGAAUUGUCAAGCAGCAAGUUUGGGGCAGUUUGAUCCUGAAUAAGAAACUGAACGUCAGAGCACAGCUGUCCAGACAACAUGAGUAAAAACCAUCCUCUGCUCUCACUGUCACUGGUACAAACUGCAGUCCUGGUAUGUCAGUGUCAGUAGCCAUCCUCUUCUGUGCCACCUGCAGUGCCUUCUGCUGUGCUGGGAGCUCUACAGACUUUAGUAGUGUUGAAGUGAAAAGGAAAACAUGCUUCAUCUGGGCUAUUCUGCAUUAUAGUGUUAGCAGCUGCAUUUUCAGUAUUUUGCAGAUUUGGCUACAUGCUUUGUUGCUGCAGCUGCUGGCACCAAACAAAAAAGAUAAGCAUAUAUUAAGGCAGGGAAACAAUUGUUGCUUCUGCUCCAUUACACUGGAACACAUGAUUAAAGUACCAAUAGCUACUUUGUCUGAGAAACUCCCUGCUUGAAUGUUUUCCAAAUCAUAAAACGAGACCAAAGAUCUAUAAUCUUGUGUCAUGACUCAUAAAUCCAGAUCUCCUCUUGUCCUUCUACUCUGGAUGGAUGGCUUGUAGAGGAGAUUGUGGUGGUUUGGUUAAGUCUGCAUUUCAGCAGUCAGUCCUCUUAGGUCAGACAUGCAAAAAAUAUCUGUAAUUGAGCAAUUUGGCAGUACUUAAAUCACAUUUUCCCCUUUGAAAGUUGGAAAUGUCCAUGUAUCAGUGAGACUCACAAUCCACAUACCUCUGCCCUUGUUGAAUUAGACAAGGUAUCGCUUGCUGUUACAUCGCAACUCCUGCUGCAAGAUAAGAACAAGUUGUUACCUUGAUGUAGUAAAGGAAAACAGCUUGAUGUUCUUAGAAAAGCAUAUACCUUUUUAGUACACUUUUCUAGAGUAAAACAAGGCUCCUGACUGCUCAUUAUAAGAAAUAAAGCUGAACACAUUUUGAAAUGAGUCUUCUGAAAGCAGAAUUUGGCAAAUGGGCAGCAGUGGGAGAUUUAAACUGAUGUCUGAUGACCUUUGUAAAGCAAAGCAAAUGAUUGCUGUUUGCUAAAAAUGUGUUAGCGUUGGAUGCUUCUGGUACAGAUGAGCAAAUGAAAUUUAAAUGGCUGUCUGACAAUCAGCAAACUUUACCUUCUGAUUGAGCCUACAAAUGCUAUAGCAUAGGCCUCCAGGCAGAAGUUUGAGGCGCUGCUUUUUUUGAUGACCACAUGAUUUAAGACUUUCAGAAAGUAGUUUUGCUUGCAGUAGACAAGUGUGAUGAGAAGAGUAACCCUGAGUAAGGAGUUAAGAUCAGUUCCCGCACGUUCCAUUCCAGCAUGGUGCAUCCUUUGGUUGCCACAGUACUUGUUUGAGCAUCCUGGGGAAGUGGCUGUCACAAAGCAGGGGUUGCACUUCCAUAGGAAGGACCAAACGUAGCUGUAGCUGUCACCUUUUGCAUGGCCCUUGGUAGGCAGAGGCAGAAGCAGGAAAGUGGGCCUCAAGUGAAGCUGCUCCUGGAUCAAAAAUACUCCCACUGUCUUUACUAUGGCACUACUGUAGCACCAUGAAAAACAGAAACACUGUUUUCUGGCAGUUCUUUCUGCAGCCUCUUUUACUCUUGCGUUCCUCUGUUCUUCUUUCUGUCCUGUAUGCUGCUUCUUUGCUGCUCUCUUCUACGUCACUCCUGAUUUCACUUAUUAUUCCUUUAUACACUUAAUCCAAGGUUGUCUGUUUUAACGACUCUUUUUCCUUUACUCCCUGGGAAACGCCUGCAUUCUUCUUGUUCUCUUCCCAGGGCUUUUUUAUAUGGCAUCACCAGCUCAUUUUAGUGGGCUGGGAGCCUCCCCAUGCUGCCAGCCAAGGAAGUCCCUGUGAGCAGCAGGCUGGUCAGCCUCACCUGCAUGUUUCCCCUCUGGGAUGUUCCUGGUGGCUGCUGCCAGGCUCAGUGCAGCAUGUCCCAGUUUCUGUGCACGUGCUGGGGUUACAAGAAGGGCUGGCAUAGAAAGCAAUCUGGCGUCUUCCGCAGCUCUACUUGUUAUUUUGUCUUCCCUCAUGAAGGAAUAUAAGAAUCCAUUUCAGGAAAAUUAACCCAUGUGGAACGAUUUUUUUAACAUCUUUGGAGGAAUACAGGUUAGCAUUUUUCUUGCAAGUCUAUCUGGACCGCUUCAGGAAGCUGCACGGACUAAGCUGGGGCUGAUUGGCAGCUGUCAGCCACUGGUUAUACAUGUUCAGUGUUUCCUUAGGCAGGAUGAACUGCCUGCUGCAGCUCUGGGAUGUAGCAGGAGGCAGGGCAGCAUUUUCAUUUAAUUGCUUGUGGAGAUAGCUGCAGGAUUGUGGUGUCAAAAUAUUGCUAGGUCUCCAGGGAUUUCUUGUCAUUUUGUUGCCACAAUAAGGUCAUAGUUGUCACAGUGGCUUAGUGCAGCCACAGAGUAUGUGUACAAUUAUUUAUGCAACCUGAAAAUGUA